UUUACGAGGUCAGGACACUGUGAGGAUUGACAGAUUGAAAGCUCUUUCUUGAUUCAGUGGGUGGUGGUGCAUGGCCGUUCUUAGUUGGUGGAGUGAUUUGUCUGGUUAAUUCCGUUAACGAACGAGACCUUAACCUGCUAAAUAGUCACGCGAACCGGUCCGCAAGGGCUCAAAGUUCGCGGCUCGACUUCUUAGAGGGACUAUUCGCACCCGCCAGCGAAUGGAAGUUUGAGGCAAUAACAGGUCUGUGAUGCCCUUAGAUGUUCUCGGCCGCACGCGCGUUACACUGACGGAGUCAACGAGCGUUUUUCCUUGCCCGAUAGGGUUGGGUAACCUCCUGAAACUCCGUCGUGAUGGGGAUAGAUCAUUGCAAUUAUUGAUCUUGAACGAGGAAUUCCUAGUAGGCGCGAGUCAUCAACUCGCGCUUGAUUACUCCCCGCCCUUCACACACCC
rnacentral:rRNA from 1 species